rnacentral:rRNA from 1 species
CUGCCAAGGGCAUGGCUGGGUAGCUAUGUGCGGAAUGGAUAAGCGCUGAAAGCAUCUAAGCGCGAAGCCAACUUCAAGAUAAGAUUUCCCACCGCAAGGGUAAGACCCCAGAAAGACUAUCUGGUUGAUAGGUCGAAGGUGUAAGUGCAGCAAUGUAUUUAGCUUAUCGAUACUAAUAGGUCGAGGACUUGACCAAU